GAUGAACGCUAGCUACAGGCUUAACACAUGCAAGUCGAGUGACCGGCGCACGGGUGAGUAACACGUAUCCAACCUGCCCUUUACUCGGGGAUAGCCUUUCGAAAGAAAGAUUAAUACCCGAUAUAAAGGAUGGGGAUGCGUUCCAUUAGGUUGUUGGUGAGGUAACGGCCCACCAAGCCUUCGAUGGAUAGGGGUUCUGAGAGGAAGGUCCCGCACAUUGGAACUGAGACCAGGUCCAAACUCCUACGGGAGGCAGCAGUGAGGAAGAUUGGUCAAUGGGCGUUAGACUGAACCAGCCAAGUAGCGUGAAGGAUGAAGGAUUAUGGGUCGUAAACGUCUUUUAUAUAAGAAUAUGUAUUAUAUGAAUAAGGAUCGGCUAACUCCGUGCCAGCAGCCGCGGUAAUAC
rnacentral:rRNA from 1 species